GCCAGCAUGGCUUCAUGGUUUGAGUGUUGGACUACAACUCUACAGAUCAGGUUCAAAUCCCCGUUUGGCU